rnacentral:rRNA from 1 species
AGUGAACGCUGGCGGUAGGCCUAACACAUGCAAGUCGAACGGCAGCACAGUAAGAGCUUGCUCUUACGGGUGGCGAGUGGCGGACGGGUGAGGAAUACAUCGGAAUCUACUUUUUCGUGGGGGAUAACGUAGGGAAACUUACGCUAAUACCGCAUACGACCUACGGGUGAAAGCAGGGGAUCUUCGGACCUUGCGCGAUUGAAUGAGCCGAUGUCGGAUUAGCUAGUUGGCGGGGUAAAGGCCCACCAAGGCGACGAUCCGUAGCUGGUCUGAGAGGAUGAUCGGCCACACUGGAACUGAGACACGGUCCAGACUCCUACGGGAGGCAGCAGUGGGGAAUAUUGGACAAAGGGCGCAAGCCUGAUCCAGCCAUACCGCGUGGGUGAAGAAGGCCUUCGGGUUGUAAAGCCCUUUUGUUGGGGAAGAAAAACUGCAGGUGAAUACCCCGCUGUUCUGACGGUACCCAAAGAAUAAGCACCGGCUAACUUCGUG